rnacentral:lncRNA from 1 species
ACAGACUCAAUUAUGUAUUUGUGUGUUUAUUUGUCCUCACACUAACUGUGUUGCUUUGUUUCUGCUUAGGCCAAUCUGCAAGUGAUGUACACUUCCAGGUGUACCUGCUGGAGGGCCUGGUGCGGUGGAACGAGAAUCGAGGCAGGGCGGCAGUCGAGGGAGGACAGAGGUCGGCGCUGCGUUGCUACAGUGCCCAGCUGCAGCACAGCUUCGACCAGCUGACCCAAGAGCUUCUUGGGCGCACACUGGUCGACAUGUACACCAUGCCCAGGGAGUACACAGGUGGAACUGCGCCACCACCGCUACGUCACUCCCAGGCAAGCCAGAGAGGUCACCGCUCUCUGGCUGAAGUUGAGUGACUGGGACAAGGCGGCGGUCAAAUUCCCCCCCCGUCACCAGGACCGGCUCGUCCAGGGCCGAUUCAGGACCAGCCAGCGGCACGCUCACACGCCAGGGGUGGCUAGUGUGAAGCGUGCGGUCCUGGGCAAGGGGGGCGGGAGCGGCGCAGUCUCCCGAUGUGUCAAGGCUUGUGGAGGCUGUCCUGCUGGACCUCAGCAUCCUCCACUGCGGCGAGGAGAGGACGAUUGCCGGGGUCCGCCUUCAUCGCUGGAGUGCCGUCAUGAGGGACUAUCAAACAAUUCGAGAGAAUGUUUAUAGUUGUGCAGCCCUCAUGACGAGCACCCGCAUCCAGCUGUAUGAGGUCAAUCAGCGGACCCUGACGCAAUGGGGACUACGACUGCACCUCCUCCUCAUCCUCCUCCAGCUCCUCUCCUCGACAGCUUCAGGCAGCAGAGCCAGUGGCGGGGACCAGCAAGCCCACCCGUUGCACUCUGUACAGGCGCAAAAUUAAAGCGGCAAAAGACAAAAAAGUCCUCCAAAGUAGCAGGGGAAAGCCACAGCACAAGCCUGGGGACCCCUGCUACAUCUGUGACCAAGCAUGCACGGUGGAUGGUGGCCACGCGUACUUCAAGGGCCAAUACUUUUGUGCUGUGAAAGAGGGCCCUGGAGGACGCACAGUGCAAGAGUGGACCAGGGAACAGCUUGGCCCUGGUAAGCUGCAUAAGCUCCCCAGAACAACAGCCUGGAACCUCAAACGGAAGUAUGAGAAACCAGAGAAACCGGGGGGGAAAGUGAGGAAGCCCCACAAACUGAGGAUCUGCCAGCUCUGUGGCCAGCCACAGCAGAA